AUGAGCUUCAUGUCACAAAAUCGAGGGUUGCAGAGAAAGAUUGACCCCUUCAUGCUGCCUCCAGCUUCCAGGAAGUACCAUGUCUGUCCACGUCUGGCUAGGUAACUCUCUGGGCAGCUGCUGCCAGAAUUAUGUGGCUGAAAUGAGGAAGAAGAAGCCCUUUCCUGAAAGAGGGGUUGUGCCAGGGGCCAAGGUGGAGUGUUCUAUGUUCUAAGAGGACACUUUCUGAAUCAGGCCCCUGAGUUGAUGUUAUGUCUCUUGACUGGGGAGUAAUCACCAGGACUUUGGGGUUCCUAGAAUUGGAUUACAGUGUGAUGGCUGUGUUUAUGUCACAGUGGAGGCUGAGACAUAGGAGUAGAGCUGAGAAACAUCUGAGGCAAUCUUGAAGCUGGCCUGGCAGCUGGACCGUGCAGGACUCUGGGGAUGAGGAAAGGCUACCGCUGGGUAGGGCGGAUGUGGACAUUGCAAGCGUGGGUACUGUGGAUGAAGACACGGCUGGACAGUGUAGGAGUGGGCACUGGGGAUGAGCUGGGCAGUGCAGGUGGAAGGACCUGGGAGUGAGGAAAGGCUGCAGCCCCUGCACUGCUGCUGCCAGAGGUUCCCACCUAGCAGGAGGUGAUUUGCAUUCUUCUUGCAGUGCCUGUAACAGUGUAUACAGUUGUCCCUCAGUAUCCUUGGGAGAUCCUUCCAAGACUCCCAAUCUGCAGAUGUUCAAAUACCUUAUUUAAAACAAAUUUUAUUUGCAUAGAACCCAAGCACAUCUUCCCA
rnacentral:lncRNA from 10 species